rnacentral:rRNA from 1 species
GAUGAACGCUGGCGGCGUGCCUAAUACAUGCAAGUCGAGCGAACAGAUGAGGAGCUUGCUCCUCUGACGUUAGCGGCGGACGGGUGAGUAACACGUGGAUAACCUACCUAUAAGACUGGGAUAACUUCGGGAAACCGGAGCUAAUACCGGAUAAUAUAUUGAACCGCAUGGUUCAAUAGUGAAAGACGGUUUUGCUGUCUCUUAUAGAUGGAUCCGCGCCGCAUUAGCUAGUUGGUAAGGUAACGGCUUACCAAGGCAACGAUGCGUAGCCGACCUGAGAGGGGGAUCGGCCACCCGGGAACUGAGACACGGUCCAGACUCCUACGGGAGGCAGCAGUAGGGAAUCUUCCGCAAUGGGCGAAAGCCUGACGGAGCAACGCCGCGUGAGUGAUGAAGGUCUUCGGAUCGUAAAACUCUGUUAUUAGGGAAGAACAAAUGUGUAAGUAACUAUGGACGUCUUGACGGUACCUAAUCAGAAAGCCACGGCUAACUACGUG